rnacentral:rRNA from 1 species
AGUGGGGAAUAUUGCACAAUGGGCGCAAGCCUGAUGCAGCAACGCCGCGUGAGGGACGAAGGCCUUCGGGUUGUAAACCUCUUUUAGCAGGGAAGAAGCGAAAGUGACGGUACCUGCAGAAAAAGCACCGGCUAACUACGUGCCAGCAGCCGCGGUAAUACGUAGGGUGCAAGCGUUGUCCGGAAUUAUUGGGCGUAAAGAGCUCGUAGGCGGUUUGUCACGUCUGCUGUGAAAUUUCGAGGCUCAACCUCGAACUUGCAGUGGGUACGGGCAGGCUAGAGUGCGGUAGGGGAGAUGGGAAUUCCUGGUGUAGCGGUGGAAUGCGCAGAUAUCAGGAGGAACACCAAUGGCGAAGGCACAUCUCUGGGCCGUAACUGACGCUGAGGAGCGAAAGCGUGGGGAGCAAACAGGAUUAGAUACCCGGG